rnacentral:rRNA from 1 species
GGGCAUUUAUAUGUCUGGUAAUUGGAAUGAGUACAAUUUAAAUCCCUUAACGAGGAUCAAUUGGAGGACAAGUCUGGUGCCAGCACCCGCGGUAAUUCCAGCUCCAAUAGCGUAUAUUAAAGUUGUUGCAGUUAAAAAGCUCGUAGUUGGAUUUCUGAGCGUGUGCGUCUGCCCCACUGGGGUAACCCAGCGAGUGGCGGUGUGCGCCGUUCAUAUGAGAAGAAUCUCCAUUGCCGGUCAAACGGUGAUGGCUGACCUCUCGCUAUACUUUGAAAAAAUUAGAGUGUUUAAAGCAGGCUUGCGCUAUGAAUACAUUAGCAUGGAAUAUUAAUUUAGGACUUUGUUUCUAUUUUAUUGGUUUCUAGGAAUAAAGUAAUGAUUGAUAGGGAUAGUUGGGGGUGCUAGUAUUCAUCGGCCAGAGGUGAAAUUCUUGGAUUCGAUGAAGACUAACUAAUGCGAAAGCAUUCACCAAGGAUGUCUUCUUUAAUCAAGAACGAAAGUUGGGGGAUCGAAGACGAUCAGAUACCGUCGUAGUCUCAACCAUAAACUAUACCGACUAGGGAUUAGGGAAAGUUGCUUUUACGACUUCCUUAGCACCUUAUGAGAAAUCAGAAGUCUUUGGGUUCUGGGGGGAGUAUGGUCGCAAGGCUGAAACUUAAAGGAAUUGACGGAAG